UGUGCUAUUACUAUUUAUUAAUUAUUGUUACAGUAAUGGAUCGUAAUAUGAGACAUCAUAUCGGAGAAUAGUCAAAACAAAACUUAUAACAAAGCAAAUUAAAAUUAUACAAUACAACUGUAAGUCAUACGUGUGUUAUUUAAAACUAGAUUAAAUGAAAUAAUAACAAUAAAAUACAGGAGAUCUAGUGUAGUGUUUUUUUUUAAUAUAACCCGCAGUAAUUAUAAACCAUCACAGAAGUCACGCUACUUCCCGGAAGACAUACAGAUUAGAUGGCUAGGAUAAGAAUUAGAAAAGAUUAAACUGGUAUCCUAUAUACCCGCGGAACUUACAGAUUAUUGUAAUAAUUUAUUAUGGACUUUGCUAUUUAUAUUUCUAACCAGGUACGAAAAUUCAAAUUCAUUGUUACUGACAAGCAUAAUUAUUUACAAGUUAUGAUAAAAAAUUUAAAUAUUAUACUUGACUUGCCAACAAAUUCAUAUUUAUUAUUUACCAAGUAACGAAACACAGAAUCACAUGAACAAAACAAAAUUUUUCAUACCUUUACCAUCAGUUAAAGAUAAUGUAGGAAUUUUAAUGAGAGACAGGAGAUGGCAGUGUUAGUCCAUAAAAAAGCGGUUUAUUUAUAUUUAGGGUAAAAGUAGUAUUUGUGCAUGGACACUACUCUAUUUUUGAAGUCAGCAAUCCUGCCUUCCAUCAAGAUUACUCCGAGUUCAUCGAGGAAUAUAAGAAACUCCAGCAUCUGCAAUGAUCCCAAAAAAUUCCGAUUGAAUGUUUGCUUCCAAUUGAAUCUAAUAGAAAUCUGAGUUUCAAUCAGAUUCAAUCGGAGUUUUUAAUCGAGGAGGAUUACCAGCCUUUAAAAACUGAAACCACAACUCUUGUAUCCUUUGAUUCAAGUAAAAAAAAUCUUGAAAACAAUUGACCUUAUAAGCUAGCUAUGAAAAAUGAAAGCUUAUAUUUUUAUGUUUAAAAAUUAAUAAUUUUAUUUAAAAUUUUUAUCAAUUUACAAAAACUUUACAUGUUUAUAUAUUAUUCUAAAAAAUAUUAAAAUACAUAUUUUAUAAAAUAAAAACCUGAAAUAUAAUAAUAUUGAUAAUAAUUUUAUCAAGUAAUUAUAUAACAAGAAUGUUUUCUUUAUUUGCUCAU